rnacentral:lncRNA from 1 species
AUGCAUUUGAAAUUAUGCAAAGGGGGGGGGGGUUGGAAGCCCCAACUCUUGCUGUUUGCAGGCUUCCAUCGUUUAUUUCUGUCAUUUACGUUUCCUAAAUAUAAUCUGUUGCUCAACCCCAGAAAUAUUCUGGAAGACAAGAGGGGUGAGAAACGCCCCGCAGAGAGGAGAGGGGGGGGGGAAGGCAAGCAAACGUGGGUUGUGGGUGGAGAUGAGGAAGAGAAGCCAUUCUUCUUCCGGAAUAUGAGGGAAAUCUCAGAGAAGCCAGGGGAGUUUUGCAAAGAUCUGACUUACCCCCGGAUUCAAGCAGAGCAAGGGAACAAACGGCAAAGAGCAGAGCCCCAACCAUCUUGGAAUCGAUUGCUUCUCUCUCAGUCGAGAUCGUCAGUCGAGGGGUAAAAUAACCAUCCUACACUGGCAGGGGACAGGCCUUUGCAAAAGCACGAUCUGUAGGCAGCGAGUGAAGUGGCUGGCUAAUCAUUCCCAAGACUGGGGGUGGUACUCAAGAGUAGACUCAUUGGAAUUAAUGAACAGGACUAAGUUAGGUCCGUUGAUUUCAAUAGAUUUGUGCAGCAUAACGCUUAGUUGAGUACCACCCUCGGAAACGAGAUGUACAAGAUUCUAUGUGUGUUCCCGUCCCAUAUUUUCGGUACUCUUUAAACUUACAGUUGAAUAUUUGUGAGUCAGUGCCAGAGGCCAAGGCGAAGCAUAGCUGGGCAGUAAAACGUGGGUUUGCACCCCUGUGGCUCCAAGAUCAAACACAUGCAUCUAGGGAGUAGGGCAGGUUUCUAUGUAUGAUUAACAGACCAGUAGUGUUCAGGACUGGGGGUCAAGACCCUGAGGGGGCUCAGCUUCUUUUCAGGUAUGUCCAAAGUCCGUUUCGGGGGCCUAAUCUGGCCCUCUGGUCGAGUUAAUUCAGCCCCGUGGCAGUAUAUGUCCGGGGGUAAAAUCCUAAAAAAAGCUCAGCAACAUUGGUCAGCCCUCACGCGUGUUUACUUCAUCAAAUCUGGCCCUCUUUGAAAAAAGUUUGGGCACCCCUGUUUUAAGAGUUGGAUAGGAGGGGUCAAGAGAAAGGAGAGAUUCACCAGCAACGGCCACCUUUUUCUCUCUUCGCAGGAAUACAGACAAGUUUAGGUAGUUUAGGAGUUUGAUUUUGAUCAGUUUCAAGAGACCUAAAGGUAAAGGUAAAGGUACCCCUGCCCGUACGGGCCAGUCUUGACAGACUCUAGGGUUGUGCGCUCAUCUCACUCUAGAGGCCGGGGGCCAGCGCUGUCCGCAGACACUUCCGGGUCACGUGGCCAGCGUGACGAAGCUGCUCUGGCGAGCCGGCACCAGAGCAGCACACGGAAACGCCGUUUACCUUCCCGCUAGAAAGCGGUCCCUAUUUAUCUACUUGCACUAAAGGGUGCUUUCGAACUGCUAGGUGGGCAGGA